rfam:Gossypium raimondii Chr09_contig_742, whole genome shotgun sequence.
AUUUCGUGAUAAGGGCACUUCCGUAAUAAUUAUUUGUACCUUUCCCAUGCCUUAUACAAGGACUCAUCAUCCAUAUGUUGAAAAUCAGUGAUCUGGUUCCUCAACUU